GUCACACUGUGGAAGCGGGUAUACCCGCUGAAACGCCGUCUAUUUUGAGCGACUUUCAAGCCCGGCAAAGCCAAUGGAGAAACAUGCUGCGGAUUCUCCGAAAAGAACGAUACAACCUCCCGAUCCAGAAAGUUUUGGACUGGUCCUCAACCUACUGGAGUGUCUGGGAGUUACGGGAUUUACAACCUUUUUGUGUCGGCACAACCUCCGAACACAGGGCUCGUCUAAACCCUUUCUAGAGUGGUAUGCCCACACACUCUAAGGCUUUUCAACCUCUACUCAGGACUAUACGACCCAAAGUUUGCCCUACUGUUCAACCACACAGAAACUAAUUUCACAAUGUCACAAAUUCAAACGUGACUCGGACAUCAACCACAGUUAACACAUCACUUUUGGAGGAUAAAUGUCCCCUUACCUUAUGAAUUGUUGGCCGCCGAUGUACUGUCUGUCAACCAACACCUCAGUCUAAAAUCACGUAAAGGUCACCAAUUGUUAGAGGACACUUUUUUUCCUCCGCGUGUUCAUUUAAUUUCGGGUAGUGAGAAUGUUGAUUAUCCAAAUAAAGCCUGGAGAUGAUGAACAGUUUCUUCGAAGAAUUUACUUGCAGAAUAUUCCGGGCACUUAUGAGUUACUGACAGUAGCUGUAGAGAGCAGAUCACAAGUGCAAAGGUACAGAGAAAGCACAUAUCCUUUAGCUUGUCAGAAGGGCGGCCCAUGAGCGGCAUCAAACCUGUGGCCUGACAUCGGGGCUUUCCACUUAGACAAAGGGUUUCUGUCUCAACCGGUUCUAGCUGGCAAUGGAUUAUUACAAAGUGUUCAGUAUGCAGUUCAUCAAGGUUAGCCUACGUGCUGAGAUGCGCUCAAGGACACAUCUGGCUACAGAGCAAAGCACCACUGAGGACUAUUCGAACAAGACUGUCUGACACCCUGGUAUGGCAAAAACUCGUUCUGUUGUCGAACAGAGAUUCUGAUGGCCAGACCUCAGCAAAGACGUGAAGGAAUUUGUCAAUGCCUGCCUGGUGUUGGUGUUGGACGAGGUCGUCCGCUACCACGGGUUCCCCUGGGAUAUCGUCUCGGACAAAGGCCCGCAAUUCAGCGCCCACUUCUAGAAGGAAUUCUGCACCCUCAUCUGCGCUUCAGCUAGUCUAACUUCGGCCCAUCAUCCGGAGUCUAACGCCCAAACAAAGAGGGUAAAUCAGGAAUUAGAGACUGGACUUCGAUGCGUAGCAUCUAAGGACCAGAGUAUGUGGAGCCAGCAGCUCAAAUGGACUCCGCGGUGCUGUUGGCCCUGGCAGUAGUACGGCGCUGCAAACGGACCUGGGAGGCAGCCUGGAGGACGGUGCUGCACAUGGGUAACAUCUACAAGUCCACAGCAGACCGCAAGAGGAGAGCCGCACCAGCACUCAGGGUGGGGCAGCGAGUCGGGCUCUCCACCAAGGAUCUCCCGCAAAAUUGCUCCCAGUGAUUGGCUGGCAACCAGUUCAUGGUGUAUCCUGCCUCCUGCCCGAAGAUAGCUGGGAAAGACACCAGCACUGCCGCUGCCCUUGUGAGGAUACGUGGCUCCAAACAUGGAUGGAUGGAUAUCCACACACACACUCACACACACACACACACACGCACACGCACACGCACACACACACACACACAGUCAACUUCCCAUCUUGUUGCAGCUGUUUUCUUCACCAGGAACUCAGGAUAAGCCACAGGAUUCAACUAUGAGACCCAGCGAAUAAAUAAAUAAAUAAACUAAAACUUUAGAGAGAUACCGGACCUGUCCAGCACAUUUUCUUGGGCCUUUGUGUCAGAAGAACAAAUAAUCAGUGUGGCAAAGAUCUCCAAAAAUACACAUCCUUCUCUUCAGUUUAGUAUUCAGUUUGCUCACAGUGGAUGCUGUCGUUGUUGUUUUUUUUUGGACUUUUCAACCACUUGCCAACAAGAUGUUUACACCAAGGGAUCAUGCAAUGGGCCAACACUUUUAUUUUUUUGCAAUCAGGCUGUGUUUUAAUUGUAUCAGAUUAUGUUCCCCUCAACCAAAAAUAAUUAAUUAAUUCAUUAAUUCAAUCAUUCAUUCAUUUUCUGAGACUUAUAAGAGUUCACAUCACAGGAUUAGCAGCCUCAACAAAGAAGUCCAGACUUCCCUCUCUUUAAGUGGUUUAUAAACAAGGUUAGGUUGAAUUGAGUUUGGGUCACAACUGUAAGGUAGAUUUCAUGACUAUGCUGUGCAGAAAAAUUCUCAACCUCUUCAAAUGAAAACUACUUUAAAGAUUGUAUCCUUGGUGCAGUUUUUGUUUUCCUCCUGAAUGUGCUGCUACAUGCAGGUGCGUUCUAUUCUAGCAGGAUCCAGGACCAUUUGCGAUCUCAAACCCAUAAACUAUUUGGAUUGUCACAUCAAGAAUUAAGGAGUAAAGAAAGAUAGAUGCUUUUUUUUUCAUUUUAGAGUAAAUAGAUAGGAAGUAUAAAAUGUACACUCACUUGCCACUGCGUUCUCAUCAAAUACAACUUGCACAAAGGAUAUGCUCUAUUUUUUUUUUCCCGGGCUUUUUUUUUUAACUAAUGCACAUUCUGAUUGCCCUGUUUACUACAUGCAAUGGUUAAACCUUUGGAAAAAUGUAACAGUGUGAAGGAAAACAAUUUUACACUGCAGUAAAUGCGAAACAAAAUAAUGCAUGGUGUUAAAUUAAUAGCCUAAUUUAGCAUUAUUACCUUUUCUGAAACAGAAUUUGUACUACGGGUCUGAAGUCUGCUCAGUGAUGUCUCAUUACAUGAGCACAGGAACCGUCUCCCCAAUUUAAGUUUCCUAAAUGUCACAAAGUAGUGAAGGUAUGUUCUCUUCUCUCGUGAACAAACGAAAGCUGGGAUGAAGGCUUCUACUUUUCUAAGGUUUCAUAAGUCUUUUCACAUCUUACAGUUACAGCGGGGAUCAGGCACCACUGUGUGACUUGCUUUUCAAUACUUCAGACGACCAUUAUAGAACAUAAGAGACUUUUCUUCUGUGUAGCUCAAAGAAAUACUCUGGAAAGUCAAUAGGCGAGGUGUUUUCAAUGGAACUAAACCAACAUGCAGGGCAUUUUGCACAAUUCAUCUCAAGUGCUUUUUCAUCCAAGCAGUUCCAAACCUCCUGCCAGCAGCAGGCAUGCCCUGUGGACACAACCUGCUGUUUGCAGUCACUUUAUGUUUUUGUCCGUUUUAAACACCAAAUACCUACUAGUAGUUUCCUUGUUGCAAACGCUGCCACUGUAUGUCAGCUUUAAUGUGACACUUUGCUAUUUGUUAAAGUUGAAUGUAGAAGUAUUGAAUAAAUAGAAAUGUAGGUAGCAUUUCUUGCAUGCUGUUAAUAAUAAUAAACAUAGCAUGUCAUUUUGAAAAUGAGUAUAACAUUUCAUCAGUUCAACAAAGUUUUACAAAACAUAGUUUGAUAAUUCCCAUCAGGAGGCCCCAUAGCUCAGUGGUUAGAGCAUUGGUUUGGUAAACCAAGGUUUGUGAGUUUGCUUCUCACUGGGGGCUUCCACUACCCAAGAGGAGUUGCGUCAGGAAGGGAAUCCAGCGUAAAAACUGUGCCAAACAAAUAUGAACGUUCAUCUGAGAUGACAUGCUGUGGCAACCCGUAACGGGACAAGAACGUAUGUAGUUUGAUAAUUCCCACCAAUGAAACCCAUAGACAUCUCCAUGGAUGUGUUGAGUCUAGGCCAGUUAGUAGUAUUGUGUGAUUUUAACACUUGUUCAGCAAGCGUGCAUUUACUACAUUGCGUUUAUCUGUGUCUCCA